ACUCCUGAACUCAAGCAAUCCUCCAAGCAGCUACGAUUACAGUUGAUUGAUCCAGUCACGCUUGGUUUUUCCAUGAGGCAUCAAUACCAGCCAUUCCCAAACCAGCUGAUCAUAACAUACUAACCACUCUGCGCGUCUGGAGACUGCCCCUAUUGCAGAGUGGAAGAGGCGACAGGAGUGUGGUUAAAUCCUUGCUUUAGCGGAGCUGGAUCCUGACCCCAGCCGUCCCGCCGCCCACCCCCUCGCCCUCUGUCGCUGCUCUCAACGCUUGUCUUACUUCCGCAGCCCACGUUUCCAUCCCUCCCGUCAGCUCGCGCCCUCCUCCAGGUUUUCCGGCACAGACCUUGGAGGGCAGCGUGGAAACUGGGUAACUGCAAGCAAGCUGAGGUAAGCUGCACGUUCCGCAUGGACGCCCUCAAGCGUGAUUCCCAAUUCCAAGACCCCGCGUCCCCACCGCCCGCUGACGAGAACGAUACCCGUGAGCACCGCUCCUCUCCAGUGGCCCGUUCAGUCACUCACAAGCGCCAGUUCUCAGAGGAGCCGCGGAAUCGCUGUCUUGGACAGUGAAGGGAGCUGGCGUUGGUAAUCACGCUGCAACUAGGAAUCCCUGACCUCGCCGAACCCUCAACUCACUGCCGGCUCCGAGUUUCAUAAAUUGCCGCGGAACAACCUCGACGCACUCUUGCGCACGCGCACCAGCUGUGGAAGGAACCCCCUAGGAGCCCCCGCGACCCGGAUCGGUGAGGUAGACCAGGCCUUUGCCAGCCCCGUCCCUUUCUGCAGGCCCCGUCCCUUUCUGCAGGCCCCGCCCACGCCGCACACUUGGAACUCUGGCCCUGUGAAUGGACUCACGGUGAGCUUCUAGUGGCUUAAAGAAAUGAGCGUCAUACUUCCGGCGCUGCCUCAUCCCGUCCGGGGAAACUAGUCCAAAUCGCCUUUCUGUUCCCCACACCCCAUUUGUCUGGAAUCAAAAAACAAUGACAAUUUCGACAAGACAUUGUCUCUUACAUGGUCUUUAUUGGUUUAUUGGUUCACAGAUUCAUUCAUUCAGUUUUGUAUGGAAGUGAGAGGGCUUGCAGUUCGUUGUUCAGUUUUGGCUUGUUAAGACUGAGGUACUUUGUGGCAUCUGAGAAGCAUUGUCAAUUAGGCAUUUGGAUGUAGGCAUUUGGGAAUUUAGAGAUGUCUGGGGCUAGACCUGUAAAAUUUGGGUCAAUCUGGGUAGAUGGUGAUUGAUGCUAUCCAUUGGAAUAGGACUGCAGAGAAAGGGACAGAGAGGAAGAGAGAAAAUAGAAGGAAAUGGGCUGGAAUUGGCCCAGGGAACACCAACACCAUUGGUUGAGUCAGGAAGGCGGACCUGCAAAAAAGAGAGAGGAGGAUCAGCCUGAGAGUGGCAAUGGAUGCAGCAAUAUUCAGUUUCCAGAAUCAGCAGCUCCGGCAGCAGUGUCCUGUGCUGAUGGUGUUGGCAGGAGCUUCUUGACCCUGGGAGCAGAUUCAAUGUCACCUGGAGGAACAUUUCGUCCUCUACAUUUGCAUGGGAGAAUAACAUUUUUAAAGAAAAAUCAGGAGAGAUUGGCGUGCUGCCUUCUAGUGCAUAAUCCCAGGGUCAGUGAGAACUCCUAGCAUCUGACAAGUCAUAAAUCACACUCAUCUCUUCCUUACAUUCCCCUCUCUGUCUCUUGCUACUUUGGCUCAGGUCAAAUCAGUUCAAGAAACAUGUGUUGGACACUUAUAAUGUAUGAUGACUGCUCUUAUUUUCUGUGAAUAAAGAUGAUUCAGAUGUGA